rnacentral:lncRNA from 10 species
GACGGGGUUAGGCUUCCGGCGUGGGUUGUGUGGCCUCUCCCAGCUCCACGCGUUUCUGGGCGCCGGGCACUAGGCGAGCCGGCCGGGCUGGCGCGAGGCCGCAGGCGGGAAGAGUCCCCGGGGUCGGCCCCGAAGCGGCUCUGGAGGCAGUAGCCGGGGACGCCGAGGUCAGGGAGGAGGCGGAUCCGAGCGCGGUCCCGCAGGGCCCUGUCCGUUCUUCCGCCUCGGCCGGUCCCGUCAGGCCGCCUUUAAAUGCCCGGCGCCUCGCACCUGCUAACAAAACGAGCUCCUGCUGUUCCCCAGCUCCGUAAAUGGUGCCCCUGGCCCUCCCCAGUUCUCAGGCAGAGCCUUGGCGGCCUCCCUGACCCCUAACACCCCGCAUCCAGCCCGGCAGUACAUCCUGUUGGCUGUGCCUUCGAAAUUUCCCCAGACCUGACCUCUUCUCCCACCUCUGCCACCACCCUGCUCCGAGCCGUCUUUUCCCGCCGAGAUGACUGUAGUAGCGUCUCAGCUGGGUCUCCCCGCUUCCACCUUCCCCUCCUGAGUCUCCUCAACACAGGAGCCAGAGCGAUCUCGGAAAGUACAGGAGGUCAUGCCCCAGUGUGGUUCCCCUUUCCUGGGUUUAAGUCAAGGUCCUCACCGUGCCUGCCGGCCUCCCGGGUCUCUGCGCGGUGGACUCUGGACCUCCCUGCCCCGUCCUGCCUCAGGGCCUUUGCACCUGCUGUUACCGCGGCCUGGAACGCUCCUCCCCUGAAACCCUGUGACUCCCACUUAGUGAGGCGACCACCUGUUGAAAACCGUGCCCCCUUCCUAUACAGAUGCUCCUGUCAUAUGGGGUUAGAUUCCCCAUCAACCCAUCAUAGGUUAAAGCAUUGUAAGGCAAUUUACGGUAGGUUUAUCCGGAUGUAACCCCAUCUGUAAGCGGAGGAGUAUACUGAAUGUGUAUGGCGUUUGUACCAUGGCAAAGCCAAAAUGUAAGUCAAACUCGAAGUCCA